AGUACGUAUGACACCGCCGCGUAGUAAGGUUGUGCGAGAGAUUAUGCGCUUCUUUUACCGGGUCGCAAUUCAAGAUAUUUACUGGGUACUGAACACGACAUUUCAUGAUUUUCCUAAAUUUACAGGGUGUUGGAGUCCUUCAAAAAUCAUUUAUUGCUACGUGCUUGUUAAAAGAGAUUAAAGAUUGUUGGCGUGAAUGAAGUAAACUGCUUAAAAUCAUCACUCGAGGUCGCAACGUGAGUCAACUGACAGCUUGAGAUAUCCAACUUCAACUCGGAUGCCUGGAAUUCAAUCUCAGAUUCCACUCAAAAUUUUUAGUACAAAUCUUCUCGCCUUCUUAACUACGGGUGACCAAUGAAAGUGAUAAUCUAACCUGAUAAUAUAUUUUAUCCUCUGCGGAAUUUACGGGAAAAUAUCGAGAGAUGCAUUUCUAAUUUCUGAACCCAUCUUGUGUAUGCUUGAAUAUGAGCUCGCUGACUUUCUACUCGAGCAGAAGCUCAAGCGGCUGCCUUGCUCCCUCACGAACAUCGUUCAUGAGUCCCCCGAACUCAUGCCACGUGCCACGACCAACGCUCAGCAAUGCUCCGUUAUAUCACAACUUCUCAUCAAGACCGGAAGGCAGUAAGCGGAUCCUGCAUUUGGAGAGAGGGCGUCGUAAUUUUCUGAGAGAUUCCACAAGGAGGAAAAAAUCUUCCUCCUUUCCGCGAACUUCCCUGGCGCCUGUGAGUGAGGAAGGUGUUACUAACGCAGCCUUCUCUGGAGGACCGGAGAGGGUAAUUGUUAAAGCUAAAAUUGUCGAACCCUUUCGCGUCAAGAGGUUCAGCGAGUCGGGGGCCACUGAAGCGGAUUUGUUAACCUUGAGCGAAAGUGACGAAGGUGAUCUCAACAAUGAUGAAUUUCCAGUGGCUACGAAACCCACUGUUCUCCACAAGUCUUCGGAUGCCAACUAUACAUCGCGAGAACUCUCGCUCAACGAUCUCUGUAUAGAAGAUUAUCGUAACGGAAACGAUGAAUACGCUAAAUUCCUGCCAAGAAACGUGUGCAUACGAUCUAGAUCCUUACCAACAACUAACUCGAGGAACACAAACUCUACAAGUUUCGAUGAUCAGCCACUAAAAACAGAGCUCAGUUGCAAUAAUAAUUAUUUGUCGCCCACUGAAAUGACUCUUUCUAGAGGCGAUAAGAUCAGUCAUUGUCCUGAGAAAAGUGCGGUUGGCCGCACUCCACCAAAGCCUGGGAAUAUGUUCACGAAGCUCACCGGACUCAUUGAACCUGCGUAUAAAAAUACGCGCGAGUCUAAGACCGACGUUUUAAAGGGGAUGGAGGAAGCUAAAAAUGCUGCUAAGAAUGCUGCUUAUUAUAAUGCCUUGAAAAUGCUUCGAACGGGAACAAUGAAUACGAAUUAUAACCAGUCUGGUAGCAUCAAUUCUCGUUUUAAUUAUGAUAUUAAAUCAGCCCCAGCUAAAACAAUCGCUUCUGCUGGGAGCUUCAAAUCUGAAAGCAUGUUUAGUGAUCGAUACACACACGUAUUAACUCCUGAAGAAAUGAAUGCACGGCGUGAAUGGGCAGAAAUGCAAAAGCGCAAAGCAAAAAUGAGGGAAGAUUUUUUUAGAAUCCCCUACGAAGAAUGCAACCGUGAAGUUAUUAUGGGCAGACUCGGAGGAAGGUUCAGUAAAUCAGAGCCCAAAUUGAACACUCUUAAAUCCGAAGUGAGGAAGAACCAGAUUAUAGUAAAAGAGAAUUCCAAGCGAGACUCGGCACCAAUAUGGAAAACCACCGUACGAUCGUUGAGCCCCGAUUUUUCAAGAAGAUAUUCUGGUUCAUUGGAUCGCAGUCAGCAAUCACAGAAUGUUGUAGAUCGAUCUUAUUUUGAAUCAGAUAACGCUAAGUGCAGCUUCAAUCGGCGUGAAGUUGACAGCUCUGCCAGUGACGAAGAUCGUAAUAUCGUCACUGAUAGCGAUAGCACGAGUGCGAAAAUUGUGUCAAGAACCAAUGAAUUGUUUGGUUACAUAAGCAAUACUUCAGUCGAACGCCCUCUUGAAGAUUCAGGCCGCAAAAAUUUAAAUGAAAUUUUCAAAAAAGUAAUGCAUAAUAACUCUAACUCACCACGACCCGUUCCGUUGCCUAGAAGCUCGAUAAGUUCUUUGGUCUCUGGUGAAAAAGCGGUCGAAGAAGAAAACGACGCCUCACAGAGAAUUGGCUCUCAGAAAACUACCACUGACAUUCGAAGGGAGACUGCGGAGCUACAGAUGAGAUGCAAUCUAGAUAAAUCGCAUCAUACAAUUUCCUUGACAAGCCAACAACAUCGAGCUGGGCCUAAUGUUAUCGUCACUCGUUAUAAAGUGCCUUCAAUUCCCUAUAAGGAACAGUGGGAGUGGACUCGUAAAUACCACCUCAAUGGCCUUUCGCUAGAGGCACAAAAUUUUGAAACCUCCAAGCCUAAUCGAAAUUUUUACGUGUUCAAUGGGAGCAAUCAGCCUGCUAAACUGGAAUCUUCAUCUCAAACUUCUCAUAAUAACUCAUCGUCUGAAGAUUCCACAAUUUUGUGUGCAAGUAAUCAUGUUUUCGAGAGCUCGGCUCAAUCUCCGUCUCCAUCGUCGGGCUACGAUUCCAGCGCCCAUGCUGGAUCACCCUCCCCUAUGCCGUCACCAGAUUAUAAUUUCAUGCAAACCGGACCUUACGAAUCGGAAACCAGCCAGAACUUUUUUUCCUCACCUCCUCGGGUGUGCAGCGUCAAAGACAAGUCUCGGGACAAAACUUCAACUCCCUGUAUUGAAAAUUACACAAUCUCGCCAUCCGUUCGUCGAAAGGCCUCCCGCGGGGACUCUUUCAGUUCGGACUACAUGAUCAGUCCAACUCUCGAUAACGACGACUGGAGCGAAAUUACUGUCACCCCUGCCUGCAAAUCUGCCGAUCAAGAUUGUUCAAGUACGUCAUCAUCGUCAGGCUGCUACUCUGGUGCUUCAUCCCCCACACCCUUGGCCUCAGGCGCCUCAGUGCCUUCACACAGACGCGUGGCAACCCACAGGCAACUGCCCACUGCGCUCUAAACGCGACCCUGCACGGAGCAACGUGGUCGGGACGGCAGCUCCAGGUGAACUUCGAGCUAACAUCCACCCUACUCGUCUGGACCUCUCAGAAACCAGAAUUGUUUUAAAACUUCGCAUUUUUGUCCUCUUCAUUUAUAUAAUGUUCACUUUCUUUGUUAUCACUGUGUGUAUAGAUGUUUUGCUAAAUUCCCGUCAAAUUUUUGCCGUUCAUAGUGCGCAUCCUCUAACUUAUAGAGAUGGUGCCACUCCAGUAACUAGAAUUGGUAUCAUGGUUUCCUUGUUGCUUUUAUCAGUAGUUUAUUAGGUUUGGUCUACUUUCUUUCAUUAUAUAUCAAAGAUGUAUAAUCACCUUGCUCCUUGACAAUUUUUGGACAUGUUAACCUUAUUUACAACAUAUGUUGACUGCAUUGAAUAUUCGCCUGCGUAUAAAAAAUUAGGAAAUUCAUAAAAAAAGUUGCGUAUAAAAUUUCCUGUUCGAGAUUAUAUUUCUCAUGCAAUUCCAUUCAAUUAAUUAUAACAACCGCGGCGCAUCUGUUGUUUAAAUUUCAGUGUCGAUACGGAGGUGACAAAUGCGUAAAAAUGGCGAAUGAUUUUAUGAAAUAAAUUUUUAAACAGUUGAAAAUGCAUUUGAAUAUUAAUGCAGUAUUAUAGGGAGUGGAUGAUGACCAAGGAUUUAUAGUGCUAAUGUGGCUUUUAAUACAACUAUGUUAUUUACCAUAUUAAAUAUUGAAACUGCUUCAUAGCAAAGGCUCCAUUCUAAUAUAAACUUAUUCAUUAAAUUAUGAAGUUAAUUCAUAAGAAAUAAACUCGCGCUGUCUUCUUAAACGUAUCUGAAACGAACGUAACUUCGUUUGCAAUGACAUUGGAAACGAAUUUGAAAUUUCAGCUAGUUACAUUGCAAAUGUAUUUUAUUAGAUGUGAUGAUUUUAUAAUUAAUCUAGUAGUUACAGCCGUGCUUUAGCACCUACUUAUGUAUCGUUGUUAUAUUAUAGCAUGUGACUGCGCGCGUGGUGCAGAGUUCCAUAUUGUCGUUUGUUGCCCCGCUAAUAGCGUUCACUGACUUGUACACCAAGAGCAUAUUGGGACUGACUGUUACAUGUCACCAUCUCCGGACCAAUUAUUAUCUGCGUCUUUCGCAUACUUAGCGAAACCACGAUUUUUUAGCAAAUAUUUUUGCAGUGAAAUUAUCAGCUUGUUAACCACAAGCGGUCGGCAGCCGCCAUGUUUCGCACGUCAAAAGGUAGGAUAUAUCGGUCCUCGUAUAUGGUGCUCGUUGAUCUGAUCUGAAUUUUUAAAUGAAUUGUGUCAGAUAAUUAUUAGAUUAGCAAAAUUUUUAAUAUUUUCAAAUAUAGUUUAUUUGAAUCAGGUAUCUUCCGGUUGAAGAUGAUCAAAUGCUACGACUUCAUUAUAGUUUUGGAACUCAUUUUUUACGUUACCUAUUAUCUUUUCCACCACUCUGGCUUUUCAUGAAUUUGAAAAAUAUCGAUCUCAGACAUGUUCUACUUGAAAAUAAUAAUAAAUAAGUUUUCCUGGGGCCACAUUUAAACUUGAAAUGACUUAUUUUUGUGUGUUUGAUCUGCAGUGGGUCGUGCAUUAGAAUUUAAUUCAAUGUAAUGACGAAUAUGUACGCUUGAUGAUUCCUAUUACCGCUCUUUUAUACUGAGCCUGUAGUGGUAGUGAGGCACUCGCCUGUAGUACGUAAGCUACCUUUAAGGCCAUCGAUCGUUUUUCGCUAGAAUUAGUAUUAUGCAGCACAGAUUUUACAGAGAAUACGUACGGCGUCUCUAUUUAAUUGUUUUGAAAAAUGUUCAAUAUUCUAUUGACUGUUUUAAAGCUGCGAUUGUCUUCCCAAAUGAAUGCCAAUGAUUUAAUUCUCGCAAAAUCUGGUAUUCCUUUCGAUUCAGUGGAUUUAACCGUGGAUUGUGGUAGUCGAUUACGCACUGUGGGUAACGCUAGGUCUCAUUACUCGUUUGCUGUUAUGCAAGUUAAGUUCUAUUAUACUUAUUAUGUUCUCUUAUCCAUUUGUUCUCUAGUCUUUGAUUACACUUGACUGUUAUUCUUUUUAGCUAGUGACUAGAAAAUAUAUUAUACUCUUGGAUAUUUCUUUUUAUCACUUAAUAUAUUUCUUUCUGCAUGCUGCUAAUUCUAUUUUUUGUACCGACACUUGUAACACUUGCUACCUUGACACAUAUAUGCUAUUCUAUAAUGUAAUAGCUAUAGAAGCAAGCAAUUCUGUACACUCAUCACCAGAGAAAGCUAUGGCAUUUUUUCCUUUGUUGCCCUAUAAUUAUUGUUCUUCAUUGUAGGAAGAGCGAUAUGCGUUCGAAAACUGAAAGUCUCGGGUUACUUUUAUUCGUGUCCAUAGAAAUGUUAAUUCUUUGCAUAAUUUUUAGUACUUUUCAGGACUAGAAAGGAUAAAUGAUAACAAAAGUUUAACAAAACCUCAAAUAAAUUAUGAGUAAAUGAUAUCAAAAACUCGUAGGAUUGCUUACGAUGAACGUGUCGAAUUGAUUAAUAUCGAAGUAUAACUUCCACUGUUGAAUAAAAUUUGAAUAACGUAUGGUCAGUUAUUCAGUUAGUGACCUGAGAUGUGAUCACAAUGCCUGCUGCAGGCUCGACGUGCUCUGCUAAUAUGAUUCGCCUUUAUUUUUCUUGGACGUGUAAGAGUCCGGGGAGCCUACAGGUGAUGGUGUAUCUUGGAAGCCUUCACGUUGAAAAAUUUAUUCAAUAAUAAGCUUUUUGUUUACCUAUAAUAAAUAUCGUUGAGAUAGUAAUAUAAAUGGAAUAAAAUGUCCUUUUUUUUAUUCCUAUAGAAGUGCAAUGCUAGGCCGAGUGAGAAUGAGCUAUGCAAAUCUAACUUGAAAUAGCUCCCAUUACUUAAUUAUUUUAAUCGGUGAACGCAUAUUGUAGAAUAGAGAGAAAGCUUUUAUGACGGUGAUAUUUCUAAUUGCAAGCUUUGUUGGCAUGGUAUUUAUAACAUACUAACGUUUGUUGAAGCUGAUAAAUGUGUUGUGUAUUGAGGUAAUAAUAUUAAAUUUACAAAAAAAAAAUCUCUAACAAAUAGUCUUCUGGCCCUUGAAACAUGCCCAUUCUGAGUCGGAAUUUCGUCAUCCGCCUUCUCUUCUUCGUCAUUUCGGAAAUCUUUUUAGUGCAGGCGCUGAUGUUCCCGCCGCUGCCUGGCCCCGACUGCAGCGACAACGGCGACUGCGACACAGGCUGCUGCCUCCUGCUGGGGCUGCACCACCGCACACCUCAGGGCGUGUGCCAACCUCUGCCUGCUAUAGGCGACUACUGCGCCACCGGUGAGCGGCUGCGGGACUACGGCGGCUGGCGGGUGUUCACGCACAGCUGCCCCUGCAGAGCUGGCCUCGAGUGCGUGCCCGAGUGGUCCAGGAGAUUUGUUGCUCUGAGCGUGUCACAGGACCCCCAGUGCAUGCCUGCCAACCUGUCCGUGCUGGAGCUUCACACCCGAGGCUUCACUCGUCCCCCCGUCCUCCCCCCUGACAGAUCCCGCGUCCCCAUCCCGCGCUUUUGGCCAGAGUUGCUGACACCGCGACCGCUGUAGCAAGGAUUGACAGACCCUGUGGCCUUUUUCCGGCCAAUUUUAUAGACCUAGACCUUUUCUAAAUUGACCAGAGUUGCUUAGUUCGAGGCCAUCAUAGCUAGGGUUGCCAGAAUUUAGUUUUUUUACAAACUUGCCGAUUUGGGCCUUUUUUAAAACUAAAUAAGUCAAUAAAUGUAAGUAUUUGCAACGCAAAUUACAAAUUUACUUAUAAUAUCAAAUUGAUGUCAUUUUUGUAAUUGUUUGUGAAAUGAUGCAGCAUUUCUCUUCUCACCAUCUGGCAGCACUCGUGGUAGCAUCGCUGCUCACAAUUGUCUAACUCGAGUCGAGCAAAGUAAAACUCUAGUAAAACUAAAAUGAAUUAUUUAUAAUGCAUAAUUAACUGGACAUUAAAUUAGUUUUCCUUGGAUAUUUCUGCUAAGCCAUCAUUAAGACAAUAAGGAAUUGCUGUUGCAUUUGACAUGUUGUGCGUUACAUGUCGCUCUCUUGCUUCUAAUUAACGCUCUCUCAUCCACAGAAAUAAUAACUAGUAAUUAAUAUAAUCAAGAACAGCUGGCCUGCUUUCACUAUCGCGUUAUGAAGUUCAGUUUCGUAUUGAUCGUUUCCUUAUUUCAUUUAUUACAACAUAACAUCAUAGUAAUCAUUUGCCAAGGAUAGAUUACACUACAGGAGAUCAUUUUCAAUUUUGUACUUGAUACUUACCUGUAAAUGUCAAUAUUAAGUUAGUAUUAGUUUUAAAUGUUACACAGUAACUUUAAUAAAAUUACUCAAAAAUA
rnacentral:misc_RNA from 1 species